CCUGAUCCAUAGCAGCUACUCAGCCUCUGGGAGGCAGAGGCCUGGUUGUAGAGAAAGGGAGCUCCCCAAGAAUCUGAUGCCUUCUUUGCCCCUUCCCCCAGGGUAGGGAGGUAUGAAAACCACCUGUCAGAAGAGAUGGAAGUAAGAACCAGGACAGCAGGCCAGAGAGUGAGACACAAGCGGACUGAGGAGAGCAUAGACAGGGGUGUGCAGUGACGGCUCCUGAAGACGGAAAGCGGAACGUGCUUAUUGUGUGUCUGGGAGCUCCGGGGAUCCGGAGACACUUUCUGCUCCACCAUUUCAUUCGAGAACAUGAGGAAUUUAUUGUAUACCUUGCUGAGGGGAAAAGUCACCCUAGGAACUAGCCAGAGUGUGUCACCUCCAGUGAAGGGCAGACUGGCUGCCUGACCCGGAGAAGCCGGGUGGCCUCGCCUUGCGCUCACGCGCUCUGCCGCCUCGCCGUGGGCGGGUGAAGGGGAAGGGGAACACGCGGCUCCUGGAGACCAGCAGUCGCCUCCCCACGCCCAUGCUCCUGAGAGCACGCCUCUGUAUGCAAGGCUGCAUACCCCAAAUAUUCAUGUUUGUGACAGCAAACCACCGG
rnacentral:lncRNA from 1 species